GCCCGUGCUCCGAUCACACAGAGGAUUGUGUAUGUGCCCAGUCGUGUGAGAGCUGUGGGGUAUUGAACACUACAUCAUGCUCCUGCGUGUGCCCAAACGGUUUUCAGGGAACUGACUGCGCUGAUAUUUGCAGAGACUUCAGCGAUAAGUGCGGAAUUCUCAAUGGUGGAUAUCCGAAACCUUGGUGCUGGGAAGAUGACACCGCAGACAAUCAAUUUAUGGAGGCCACCUGUCCGGCAACCUG